rnacentral:pre_miRNA from 1 species
CAUGUACUCCCUCCGUUCGGAAUUACUUGUCGUAGAAAUGGAUAUAUCUAGAUGUAUUUUAGUUCUAGAUACAUCCAUUUUCGAGACAAGUAAUUCCGAACGGAGGGAGUAGACC